rnacentral:rRNA from 1 species
GACGAACCGUGCGAACGUUAUUCGGAAUCACUGGGCUUAAAGCGCGUGUAGGCGGGACGGCACGUCGGUCGCUGAAAGCCCCCGGCUCAACCGGGGAACGGGCGCCGAUACGACCGCCCUCGAGGAACGUAGGGGGACCUGGAACUUCCGGUGGAGCGGUGAAAUGCGUUGAGAUCGGAAGGAACGCCCGUGGCGAAAGCGAGGUCCUGGACGUUUUACUGACGCUGAGACGCGAAAGCCAGGGGAGCGAACGGG